CAUCCAUCCAUCCAUCCAUCCAUCCAUCCAUCCAUCCAUCCAUCCAUCCAUCCAUCCAUCCAUCCAUCCAUCCAUCCAUCCAUCCAUCCAUCCAUCCAUCCAUCCAUCCAUCCAUCCAUCCAUCCAUCCAUCCAUCCAUCCAUCCAUCCAUCCAUCCAUCCAUCCAUCCCCCAUCCAUCCAUGCAUCCCCUAUCCAUCCAUCCAUCCAUCCCCUAUCCACCCACCCAUCCAUCCAUCCCCCAUCCCGUGGCAGCAGCAGCACAGCAGGCUGCAGACUAAGUGGGUCACUUGUUGCAGGCACGUGCUACCUGGGCUCACAGCAUCUUCCCAGCCUGCCUGCCGCUGCCAGAUGGAGUUUAGGAUGUUUGGCUCUCAGCUGCCAGCCCCACUGGGGACUUCCCACCUUUGCAAAGUCUUUCUCUCUCAGCCAUGAAAUAUUCCUGCGCUGAGUUCAGCAGAAGCACUCAGGCUAAAAAGGUCCUUCCUCCUGGACAGACCCUUCCUUCUAGAAAAUCA
rnacentral:lncRNA from 12 species